UCCCUGGUGGUCCAGUGCUUACGACGCGGCACUUUUACUGCUGAGGCCCGGAUUCGAUCCCUGGUCGGGGAA
rnacentral:tRNA from 1 species